UCGUCCUGAUUCGCUUGUAACUGUAGUCCGCUAUUGCCUUCAUGUGUAUCAUGUUUCCAGAUAUUGAGUGUUGAAAGAUUUAUUUGCAUUGAGCUGUGCCUCAGAGUAAUUUUAGUUUUCAUAAAGUCUAAUUUCACAAUUAUAACUACUUGAAAAAAAGGGUACUCUUCCUAUCUAAUUCUGUAGGAUGAAUCAACAUUUUUACUAUAAGUCCAAUUGUCACAAGUGGUUCUGUUUUCAUAUUCCUUAAAUUCCAUACUUAAAUUUUUCCAUAUUAAACUCUCAACCUACAAAUGUUCAACUGUCAUAAAAGAUCAGUGUUACUGAACUGCCAGCAUUAAUCUUUUGUUUGAGAUGUAUAAAGACAAAUAAAGGAGGCAUCACAAAAUGUCUCUGCAGCAUAAGGAGAUAUUGAAAUGAUAAAUAACAUAACCUGCAAACACUAGUUACAGUGUUCUUGGGGUGAAGAAAUUCCUAAAUAUUGAAGUCGGUGGCAUCACUGUCAGGUGCUCCAUAAAUAAGUCCUGUACAGUAUCUGACACUGGACCUUUAAUUCUUGGGAUGCUCUGCUAAAUAAGCACGCUCCCUUGCUUGUCGGAAUUCUUCAUGCCCAUUUCCAGAAAUGUUGCUGCAGAUAAGUAACACUGUCAUGUUCAUUUUGUCAACCAGGCACCGAUUAUCCUUUUCUACGUGAAGUCUGGGAACAUUAGCAAGGUCAGAAGCAAUCUUUCAGAAAUCCUUCCCUAAUGGGGCUAUGUCUGACCAUUCCUGUAAAAGAUGUCCAUAAAUAAUCUUUGAAGAAAUGCAUAUACAUUUCCCAGUGUUUUAUAGAGUCGUACCAUGGAAAAAGGAAAGGCCAGUAGGGCAUUGGGGAUUUUGAACAAAAAGGAGAACUAAGCCAUUCAUUAUAUGCAUUAAUUAAAUACGGUGCAUGUGAUACAGAGGAUGACAUAGCCAAUUCUUUGAUAUACUUUUAAAUGAUUUGACUUUGUAUUCUUAACAUCUUCCUAUUUGUUUUUUGUUUUGUUUUGACAAAUUGCUUAUGAAGCACUUGCAACUGAUGCACAUAUCACAAAAUUAUUUCUGCCAAGCUUCCUCUGUGACCUGCCCGUGGGACAUGACAGGCUUCAAGAUGCAUCGCUCUAUCAACCCGCAUUUUUCCAGGACAAUGCAAAUUAUGACAAAUUCCAUCAUCCUGCAUUAUGUACUUCAUGCUAAUCUCACUAAUUCUGAAGAAUCAGGGGGGCUUGCUGUUCUGCUGAAGGGCAUACUGUCUGAUUGAAUGAUAGGAAAAGAUUUGUCCCCUCCUCAUGAUCCCAGCUGUGGCCACCACUGUCCCACUUCUGCCAAGCAACUAUUCCUACUGUGUAAGUUGCAUUCCCGAGUUAGCUUUCUAUCAACUGAGAUUUUUGACAGAAACUCCACUUUACCAGUAAAGAUACAUCAAAAAUAAAAGAUGUCUGGGGAUAAAAUGAGGAGGGGAAAUUGUACUUCUAUCUGCUGUUGGAUACUUGCAUCCACUUGUAACUACUUAAAACAAAGGGUUACAAUCCACUUACAAUAUAUAUGAUCAAAAUGAGAGGGUCUCUUGGCUGAAGUUUCAGAUACUGGGUCGCUGCAAAUGGUCACCUGAGAAGUCUCUUCAAGAACAAGAGAGCUGUUCUUGAGAACAAUUCUUCUAGGCUUCAGAAGGUGGCAGUAAAGCUACAUGAAAGAAGCUUAAAGUCUCUAUUCUAGUCCAUGGCUACAUUGCUGAAGUAAACAUGUUUAAUUCCCAAAGAAACAUAUAUUUUAUCCAGUGGCAUAAUUUACUUAUAACAUUAAAACUCAAACAUGGAGCAAUUUGUAGCAAUAACCAUGAUUAUGCUGUUAGUGGCCCAAAUGUCACUGUCUAGAUGAAGCUAAAUGAUACCUAGCAUCGAAGAGCUUCUGUGAUUUAUUUUUUAUGAUCAUGGGUAGAACUUACAUGCUUAAAAGGCUCACCAGAAAACUACCUUUGCUAAAUACAAAGAGAGGAAAAGAGUGAAAGGAGCUCGCAGCAUCGUUCAGAGAGACGGCUGUGAAGAAUUGUCAGAGCAAUCAGGGGGUUUUGGCUUUCUCUGGUCACUUCCUCAGGCCGCUGCCACACCAUCAUCUGAAUCUCAUUGUCAUCAGAUUUGGUGAGUCAAUUGGGACUUCUUAAAGGGAGGAAUUAGUUAAAAGAAAGUUUUUACCACAUUAAAAAACAGGAAAAAUAUUUUAUUCUUUUGGAUGUUAUUGAAAAUGAGUUUUCUAUUAAUUUUCAUUUUAUAGUAUACAUUGUUAAUGUACAUUGUAUUAUGUUCUAUUAUACACUGUUAAUAUAAAUGAAUAGAUUCUUGUGUUGAUUUUAUAUUCUGCAAGUUUGCUUAGUCUUACAAUGUGUGUGUAUGUAUGCAUAUGAUUAUGAACAUACAAGUAUGUGCAUGUGGAUGGAGUGAGUCAAUCUUGGGUAUCAUUCUUUGGUACUUUUUCACCUUCUUUUUGAAACAGUAUCCUGGAGCAUGUCAAAUAGGCUAGGCUAGAUGGCAAUAUGAGCACAAGGGAACUGCCUGACAUGAUUCUCCAGGGCUGGGAUUACAAGUAUGUGACAUCACACCUGGUCUUUUGAUGUGAAUCCUGGGGAACUGAACUCAUGUUUAUCAGGAACACACACGAGGGAAGCCGCUCUAAGCCCGGGUGAUUUCAUUGCCUGAGUGAUCUACUUCACAAGUAAGUUGGUUCAAUCAGUUUUAUAGGUUUGUGUUUUAAGGACUCUAAGUACCAUGCUCAAUGGAUACCUUGCUAUUUAGCUGGAAGAAAGUGAGAUGGAGUAAGGAAGUGGUGCUAAGCCAGAAGCUGGUGAGGGCAUCUUCACCUUGUCUGUAAGGAAAUAUACUCGAGAGGUCAUGGACAACUGUGACUGUGUCCCUCUGUGAAAGGGAUCGUUUCCUAAAUCUUUCCCCUUUUCUAAAAUCUUCAUCAUCUUUUAUAUGUAAGUUUCUCCCCAUAGGUGUCUCCUUAGACUUUACUUCAAAGUCAAUGAAAUUUCAGGCUCCAGUGGGAACUGUUUUCACUUGAGGUCUAGUUAAAGUUGAAAGGGGCUCUUCUGUGUCUUUUUUGACUGAGACAACUAAAAUUUACAGAAUAGUAUGAAAUAUGUAUUAAGAAGUAGAAUACACUAUACUGCUUUGCUUCCAAGUAACUUUCUUAAUUAUUUUUAAAUUAAAAAUAAGCCUUUAUAAUAAGUAAUGAAUUAAUCUGCUUCCAUCUUCCUGAACAAUACAGUGUAAAUCUGGGGCUGCGAUACUUGGGGUAUUAUCUUCAUUCAUACAUGCACCUAUAACUCUUUAUCCCCAUUCCUAUUUAAGAAAAACAGGUCUAGAACUUAAACAUUGCUCUUCACUUUGAAACAACAGCAUAUCAUGGCCAUGUUAAGUUCAGACUGGCUAACCUAGUAAUGACUGCCACUGUAAAAAGCAAUGUGUGUAAUGAUUACAGAAAGUAAUUGCACCACAAUAUUAAAUUAGAAUUAUUUUGCAAUUUGACUGUAUUUUAUAGUGAUUGUCAUAUAGCCAGAAUAAUUUUGCAAAGCAAAGUACUGAUAGAGGUACGUUAAAGAGAAAAAUUAACACAGGUGGUGUAGUGUUACAAUGCUUCUGAGAUAUUGAUGAUAUCAUUGAAAUAAUGCCAAACAUUAAUAUGAAAAAAGCAAAGCCAGACUGAGAAUGAUAAUGUCUUGAAAAGCUACAAGAUGUUGGAAUAGCAGCUCUUAUAAUUACAUAAACCACAAUUUGUUCCCAUGAGAUCUUUUCAAAAAAAAAAAAGGUAAGCAUUAAAUGACAACAUAUACAUUAGUACUAAAAGGCUAUUUUACAGGAAGCAAAAAAAAAAAAAAAAAGGAUGAACUGGUCUUGGGAGAAAGUAAUGAAAUUGAGACUAAAUUUCUGUGACCAUUUAAAAUUCCUUUACAUUUAAAGUGUAUUCGUGUUUUCCCUGCAUUCAUGUCUGUGCACGAGGUGUGUGCAUGAUACCAGUGGAGGCCAAAAGAGGGCAUUGGAUCCCCUGGAACUGAAGUUCAGAGGGUUGUGAGCUGCCAUGUGAGUACUGGUAAUUGAACCCAGGUCUUCUGGAAGAGGAGUGCUCUUCACUGCUAAGCCACCUCUUUUUGUUUAAAGUAUGAUAUUUUUCCCAAAAAUCAGUUUGAAUACUGUUUCCCACAGAGUUGAUGGUCUUGAGACAAUUAUGUGAGAUGGUUGUCUGAACAGUUACAAGUAAAAGCCUUGACUCUGUUAAAUUUUAGGCAUUUUGAUAUAAUCUUUUAGUUGAUUUAUGUAAAGUUUUGUACUUUUCAUUUACUAAACCUUGUCAUUGUAUGAUGUAUGGUACAUUUUAGCAUCAAAGUUGCCCUAAGCAAUAAAGCCAGGGACUUUAAUACUGAUUUCCCAAAUUUUAGCCCAGCUCUUCCCAUUAUUUAGUUUUGUUGUUUGGGAUCUCAUGUCUAAUUUAUAUCAUCUUAAUAUUUAAAUCCAUAACUUAUGAUAUAACAAAAUGAAAUUCAAGUAAGUAAGUUGUCAUUUUAUAUUAUAAGGUGUCUAAAUAUCAUCUUUAAAAUGUUCACUACAAUCUCUAUAUUUUGUAUUUGCACUACAGCUUUCUUAGACAUUUUUGUCUAAUAAUAAGAGAGGAAAGUGAUAUAAACUUGUAUAUGAUAGGUAAUUGAAAGAUCUAUAAAACUCUUAAUGAAGAAAAAUGAGGUUUGAAAAUGACAGUUCAUUUUAAAAGUUAUUUUUUUAAGUUCUAUCUGGUACUUUCAGAUCUAAUAGCUGAUUCAGAUGACAAGAGGAUGAAAAGGACCAGUCCACAAGAAAUUUGUAAAACAGUAGAAAUGAUUAGUGCUUAAAACAUCUGAAUAAAGUUGCCACAGGAAGAGAAAAAAGCAUUGGAGCAAUUUAACUUGUGUGGUUAAAUGUAAGUAUCUGAAUUCAAUAUUGCUCUAUGGGUAGAACGGAACAGUUUUAAAAAAAAGAAGAAGAAUGCAAAGUGUUAGGAUUCUGCUGUGCUCCAGCUGCAUGACUGCACAUGCGCAGUUCAGGAGCUAGACAAGGGGUCUUGUGUCUUAUGUCAUCAGUGUGCACUGGUGAUUACAUACACGUGGUGUGGUCAUGCAAUCUGUGCACAUGUGGCAUAACUCUGUAAGCCCACCGGAGCCUUAAAGAGCCAUGACUCAGACACCACCCUCUCUCUCUGUUCUGUUCCCUCUUCUCCCCACCAUCCCUCUCUCUGCACGUGCUCCUUCCCCAGGCCUGGUUCUCUUCCUCCUAAUAAAGCUCUGAUACUGAUACUAGGUUCUGUCAUGACCGUGACCUUUCCACAAAGUACCCAACGCUGGUAACCAGCAUCGCUUAUCAUUCUUACAUAAAGUGUUUAAGGCAGAUGAAGAAAGGUCAAGGAAGGUUAUGGCAAAACAAGGGAGUAUCAAAUGGUUCUGUCUGACUAAGCAAGGAUGCUCACAGGGAGCCCUGAGACCAAGACUGAUGAAAGACCUUACAACAUUAUGACACAUGGCUUCCAGUUCAUAGAUGAUGAUCUCCUUAAUGUAGAAAACAAGUACAACCAUGGGAAGCAAACAGUACAAAGCAGUGGUUUUCAACCUGUGGGUUGCAACUCCUUUGGGGUUGAAGGACCCUUUAAGAAGGGCCACCUAAGACUUCGAAAAACACAGAUAUUUAUGUUAUGAUUCAUAACAGUAGCAAAAUUAGUUAUGAAGUAGUUAUAAAAAUACUUUAUCAUGGGGGGGGUCACCACAACAUGAGAAACUGUAUUAAAGGGUCACAGCAUUAGGAAGGUGGAGAACCACUGCUACAGGGGAAAGCAACAUGACAGUGAAAUUCAUAUGAAGAGUCAAAGAGCAAGGGGCAACUCAAAAGAGGCUGGGGAAGACACAGCUAUAAAAGGGAGACGGACAGGAAGUGCAAUAUAAAGGAGCUCUUUGCUCUUUACUGCGGAUGUAUGGGACUAGCUGACAGAGUUCCAGAUUAUAUGUCCUGGAAUUGUAAGCCAAAUAAUCCUUCCCCAGUACGUUGCUUUUUGUCAGGAUAUUUACCAUGGCAAUGGAAAUAAACAUAGAAUAUUCACAAUCAAGUCAUUGUGCUUUUUGAUAAUUAUACAAACAAACUGAAUACUUGCAUUUACACAAAACUUGAACAUGAAUGUUGAUAGCAGUUUUAUUUAUAGCCACCAAAAAGUAGAAACAGCCCCAACAAGACAUGAGGGAAUCCAAAUGCAUAUUAAAUAUAAGCGAAGGGUUGCUACCACAUGCUAUCUGGAAAAUGUGAAACUAGAGAGUAUAAAGAUCAGUAGUUGUCAGGAUCUAAAUCUGAUGAAAGAUGAAGAGGUGGAGCAUACAGGAUUUUGUUUUGUUUUUCGAGACAGGGUUUCUCCGUGUAGCUUUGCGCCUUUCCUGGAACUCACUUGGUAGCCCAGGUUGGCCUCGAAUUCACAGAGAUUCACCUGGCUCUGCCUCCUGAGUGCUGGGAUUAAAGGCGUGCGCCACCACCGCGAGCUUGCAUACAGGAUUUUUAUGACAGAAAAACUAUUGUGUUAUAGGACCAUAAUUAUGGAUAUACAUCAUUGGACAUUUGCUAAAUGUCAUGGAAUAUAAAAUUGUGAGCCUUUAUGUCAACUAUGAUCCUUUUCUUUGUCUUUGAGACAAGGUAACCCAGGCCUCACAUUCAUACCAUUUCUCCUGCCACAACCUCUCAAGUUCUGGAAUUACAGGAGGGAGCCACCUCUCCUAGUUAACUAUGGACCUUUGAUGAUAAGGAUCUAUCAAAGUAGGUUUAUCACUUACAACAAAAAUACCUGUCUUGUGUAGGAUGUAGAUAUGAGGCAGGUUGUGUUCCUAUGGGGCAGAAAAUAUACAUGGGUACUCUGCUUUUCCAUUCAGUUUUGCAGUGAAUAUACAAUUAUUCUAGAAAAAUAGUCUAUUUUUUCAAAAAAUGCAUAAGGUAAACAAAAGUAAUAUUUAAAUUUUUUUAAAAGAAUCAAUCAUAACUUGCUCUGUAGGCUAGGCUGGCUUCAGACUCAGAGAUCUGCCAGCCUCUGCCUUCUGAGUACUGGGAUUAAAGGUGUGUACCACUACUCCGGGAUCUAAGCUUUUCUUUUAUUCCUUUUCACAAGUUAGAAAAUUAACUAGGUGUGAUCUUGCCCUGAGGUCUCCACUCCCUUUAUUCCCUUUCUUAAUCUGUUCAUCUCCUUGAACACAGGACUUAGUUGGUGUUCAUUUUCUCCCCAAAUAUUUUCCCUUGCUCUGCUUGCUCCUUUUCAUUAUAUAUCUUCAUUAGAGUUAACACUAGUAACCACACAGCAGAGUCUAUACUAGGCUGUUUUGAGAUUUCCUCUGCCAAGGGGAUUAAUUCAAAACUCUUCAUUUUAGCCUUGGGCAAACCUUUUAGACAAAGGCAAAAAGCAGCCCCAUUCUUCACCAAAAUAUCACAAGAGUGAUUGCUACGCCAAAUAUUAAUAUUCUUCUUCUCUGAAACUUCUUGAUCCAGGCACCCACAGUUCAUCAAAUCACAUUCAGCACCACACACAAAAAAAUCAAUAAUAAAAUAACCAGCCAUUUAGGAUAUUCUUUCUCAUUAUCCAUUAAUGUUGAAAGUUUGAAUAAUGAUUAUAUUAAAAAUUUUAAAAAUGUAAAUCACGUGGUGACACUUGAUUAUAGUAAGCUUGACUACCUAGAUAGAGUCUUCUUUUCUGAUGCCUCUUCUCCAUGAGAUGGGGUAUGAAAGAAAGGAAGGAAACAACUGUAAAAAGAUAUGUCAGAAAGAGAGAGCUGGGUGAUACAGAUGGGUAACAAAGAGGCAUGCCACAAAAAGGUCAUGAGACUUGUUACCAAAAAAGAAAGCCAAGAAGAGGGAGAAAGACUGUAAGAGCCAGAGGAUCAGGGAGUUUGCUUCUGCCAGAAUCUCAGAAGCUGCACCCAUGAAGUUUUACUAACAUGGCUGCCUAAACAUGAGCUCAACAAUGAGGACACCAACAGACAUGCUGAAGUGGACAAGAGAGCUCACAGGCCUCAACCCUGCACAAAGAACUCCAGGCAACCAAGGAAUGUGGAGAGCAGAAGAAACUGUCUUCCCCAGGGAAGAGAACACCAAUUGGUAUCCAAUACCAAAUGGCCAGCCCUGAAAAUAUACACACAGGCAACGUUAUACAGAUUGAGCAGGUUGUAUUUAUGUAUUGAGGAAAGUGUUUGGUGUGUGAGUGUGUGUGUAGAUGGAGGUAGGGAGGGAGGGAGGGAGAGGGAGAGG